CAUUAUGAAGCUAAUUAUAGCAUUAACCUUUUAAGUUAAAGAUUAGGAGUUAAUUCUCCUCAUAAUGA
rnacentral:tRNA from 1 species